CAAAGAUGCAAACUAUCUAUGACGGCAUCACCCAGGGAUCUUGCUUACUUCAUCAUCCAAAUAUUAUUUUAGAUAUCUCAGAUCCAUGGGGACAAGGUUAUGCUCUGACUCACUGAACCAGUGAAAAUAAAUCGGAUGCUUUCAAUCUGCUGAGGUCAUUUGGGGAAUCUACACAAUCAACGUUGCAGUGUGUAUGGACUCUCCCUCCGCUAUGCUCUUCAGGGACACAGUCUUCUUAUUUGGGGGGCUGCCACAGCACCAGUGGACCUAGUCUGGAGGCAAUUAUAGCCACAUCUACCCAGAGGAUGCCUACUAAAGGAAGGGGCUGUGCUCCAGGAACUUGUGCUGCCAAGAAACACAGAGGGCCUUCACAGCCAAGAAAAUGUAAGGCUCCUGCCCAGCAUGUGAGAAGGGCAGGGGAGAAAGGAACGGCUUUUUCUCCGCGGCUGACAAGUAUCCGCCCAGAACUCAGACGAAAAUGCGCGACAGGCCCCCUCCUUCCCCCUGGUGUGGGUGUGGGCUGGAGGGAUGACAAGCUGAAAAGCAUCAAUAGUGUGGCCUGAGUUUGGCUCACGUGUCUCCUCUACUGGAAUUCUAGAACAAUCCCACCCCUGGGAUCCAGAGCUGUCUGUGGGCACUUGGUCCUUGCCAGAUGCCGACCACCCACCUUCCUCUCCCCCACCUUUCCUUUUCACUCUCUCCCCUCCCCUCUCCUCCUGUUCCCACCUUGCCCUUUUCCUCUCCCUCCCCUCUUCUCCCCUUCCUUUGC